GAAAUGGGCUUUUUUUUUUUAUUGGCACCAAUAUGGCCUGCCGAAGAGCUUUUCCUGUGAUUAAAACCAGCAUCAUAUCACCGUAUCACAUCUUCUUUCCAUCCAUUUUCUUAAAAAUAAAAAAACCCUAGUUUGAAGAGGCAUCUUACCGACAACCCAUCAUGGAGGAGAUUGAGCGUCGGUAGCCGUACCCAUCGUGAAGGUGGAUGAUCGCUAAUAGUUGCAACCAUCAUGAAGAUGCUUGAGCAUUACCACCCCCCUUAUGCAGGUACAAAGUGAAAAAAAUAAGGCCAGUUGUAACAUGCAAAAGAUGGGGCAUACCGUAGGAUCGAGAAGCUUUGCAUAGAUCAAGGCAAGAAUGGUGGCAGUUGCUAAAGAUGAGUAGAAGAAAUCAUUUGCAAUUACCAUGCAUGGACAUUGAGCAUAAAUAAUUUUGUUUGUUUCAAUAAAGAACUUCUUCAGUAUGGUUUAUGACUACAUUUGUUCAUGUAUGCUAUUUACUAUCUAUUACCAUGUAACGCAACUUCUUUUGUUUCAGUUAAUAAAUUUAGCUUUUGCUAUA